AGUGAACGCUGGCGGCGUGCUUAACACAUGCAAGUCGAACGAGAACGGAAUAUAGCUUGCUAUAUUUGUCAGCUAAGUGGCGCACGGGUGAGUAAUAUAUAGAUAACCUGCCCUUAAGAAAGGAAUAACAGUUGGAAACGACUGCUAAUGCCCUAUAUGCCUUUAAUACAUAAGUAUGCAAGGGAAACGCUUUAGUGCUUAAGGAUGGGUCUGUAUGGUAUCAGCUUGUUGGUGAGGUAAUGGCUCACCAAGGCUAUGACGCCUAACUGGUUUGAGAGGAUGAUCAGUCACACUGGAACUGAGACACGGUCCAGACUCCUACGGGAGGCAGCAGUGGGGAAUAUUGCACAAUGGACGAAAGUCUGAUGCAGCAACGCCGCGUGGAGGAUGACACAUUUCGGUGCGUAAACUCCUUUUAUAUAGGAAGAUAAUGACGGUACUAUAUGAAUAAGCACCGGCUAACUCCGUGCCAGCAGCCGCGGUAA
rnacentral:rRNA from 1 species